GACGAACGCUGGCGGCGUGCUUAACACAUGCAAGUCGAACGAGUGGCGAACGGGUGAGUAACACGUGGGUGACCUGCCCUGCAAUUCGGGAUAAGCCUGGGAAACUGGGUCUAAUACCGGAUAGUGUGGGAUGGGCCCGCGGCCUAUCAGCUUGUUGGGGGGGUAAUGGCUACCAAGGCGCGACGGGUAGCCGGCCUGAGAGGGUGGACGGCCACAUUGGGACUGAGACACGGCCCAGACUCCUACGGGAGGCAGCAGUGGGGAAUAUUGCACAAUGGGCGGAAGCCUGAUGCAGCGACGCCGCGUGUGGGAUGACGGCCUUCGGGUUGUAAAGCACUUUAAUUUGGUUGGCGUUACCAACAGAAUAAGCACCGGCUAACUGCGUGCCAGCCGCCGCGGUAAUAC
rnacentral:rRNA from 1 species